rnacentral:lncRNA from 1 species
ACUCCUCACGAAUGCUAGUUCAUUGCAGAACCCUUUCGACUCCCAAUGUUGAUCGAACUCCUUCGAUCUUGAUCUAUCGACUCUUCAGACACUCUGAAUCAUCAGCAGAUAUACAUCAUCAGCAGAUAUACUUGAGAGGUUGAUGAAGCUCUCCCUAAAAUCUUGUGGGCUCACGACACUCGUAGCUCACUUUCUCACUUCCCGAACCCUAGGCAGAAACCCUAGGGUACU